GCCAGUGGAAGGAGCUCAGAUCAGUCUCUGUGUUCGAUGCCUGACAGUUCACACUCAGGGUUUACAGACCUGACGCUCUGCUGCCCUGAUGAUCGUCUGCUCCCGCUGCCAGUCCUGAUCCUGCUCCUGGUCCUGGUCCCAGUCCUGGUCCUGGUGAAGUAGUCCCACAUCAUCUUCCCCAUCAGACAGACCUGCUGACUUUCAGAUUUCUGUUCAGUUUCUCACCUGGAAAAGACAAGUUCAUGGAAAACCUGCAUCCAGAUCAGAUCCUGAACCCGGUCCUGCAUCCAGACCAGAUCCUGAACACGGUCCUGCAUCCAGACCAGAUCCUGAACCUGGUCCUGCAUCCAGACCGGAUCCUGAACCCGGUCGUGCAUCCAGACCGGAUCCAGAACCUGGUCCUGCAUCCAGACCAGAUCCUGAACCCGGUCCAUCAGCAUCUGGAAAAGAAAACCACUUUAACGUCUUCAUCUGGACCAAGAAAGACAGACUGAAUCAACUCGUGUCACGGUGAAAUCUACUGUUUUCUGGUGCAAAAAGGCUGAAGGUUCUUCUGAGAUGUUCCUCCUGAAGGUUGGAUGGAUUUGAUCCUGGAUUCAGACACUAGAACCCCAAGAAACUGCAAAAAUACAACAGGUUUCAUCUUUAAGGACGAUCAAAUAAACUUCAAGAAGAACAGUCAAGUUCUGAAGACUAGAACCAGACCUGCAUGAAGGAGGUUCUGGUCCAAAAGGCUGAAAACUGCAGAUCUGGAACUAAAGGAACAUCAGCAGAAGACCAAGUGGAUUUAAGGAUUAUUUUGGAGAUAAAUAAACACGUCUUCUAUUACAUGAAAAAAGAAGAACUUGAAUGACUUGAAGAAUCUGGACAAAUGAAGGACUGACGGUUCCUUCGUGGAGUUUUUUUUUGACCCAGGCUCUGGACGUCUGAAGAUAAACCAGACCCGGUUCAUUUGUAGUCCUGGUUCUGGAGCUUUGGAUUCCACACCCUGAAGGCUUCAGGUCUUUGAAGGAUUAGACUCCGGAGGGUUCUCCGCAUAAUUCAUCCGACUCGGGAGAAGGUGAAGCUGAGGAGAUAACACCGACUUUGGGAUCCGGGUUCUGCAGAGUCCAGGAUCCAGGAAGGACCCUCUUGGGUGGGGGGGUGAGGUCUGGACGGACCCUGGAUGUGGAUUUACUUUGGACUCCGACACCUGUUGCGUUGACGGACGGACGUCGGCUUGUGUUUGGUUCAAGAUGAUGGAUUUCUGAAGAAUUUCCGUCAAACAUCGUCCAUUUUCCAACAUCAGCCAAAGUUUUUUUUGUCUUCGUUCAUUCGUUCGUCGUCUCCAGAACUCGUCUUCUGAAGGUCUUUCUGGUCUUUUCUCUGGAGGAAACCCCAGGACACAGAUUCAGUUCCUUCCUGUUUCCUGUCAUUCCGACCUGAGGGGAAAUGUGUGGUCGUCGGGUCGGACAUGAAACGGUCCGGUCUGAGCGCGGAC